GACGUAGGGCGCGAGCGUUGUCCGGAUUUAUUGGGCGUAAAGAGCGUGUAGGCGGCCAUACAGGUCAGCUGUGAAAACUCGAGGCUCAACCUCGAGACGUCGGUUGAAACCGUAUGGCUAGAGUCCGGAAGAGGAGAGUGGAAUUCCCGGUGUAGCGGUGAAAUGCGCAGAUAUCGGGAAGAACACCCGUGGCUAAGGCGGCUCUCUAGUACGGUACUGACGCUGAGACGCGAAAGCGUGGGGAGCGAACAGG
rnacentral:rRNA from 1 species